CUACGGAGGGUGCAAGCGUUAAUCGGAAUUACUGGGCGUAAAGCGUACGUAGGCGGUUAGUUAAGUUAGAUGUGAAAGCCCCGGGCUUAACCUGGGAACUGCAUUUAAAACUGGCUAACUAGAGUUAAGUAGAGGGGAGUGGAAUUUCAGGUGUAGCGGUGAAAUGCGUAGAGAUCUGAAGGAACACCAGUGGCGAAGGCGACUCCCUGGACUUGAACUGACGCUGAGGUACGAAAGCGUGGGUAGCAAACGGAAUUAGAAACCCCAGUAGUCC
rnacentral:rRNA from 1 species